GACGGAGGGGGCUAGCGUUGUUCGGAAUUACUGGGCGUAAAGCGUGCGUAGGCGGCCUUUCAAGUUGGGUGUGAAAGCCCGGGGCUCAACCCCGGAAAUGCGCCCAAGACUGUUUGGCUCGAGACCCGGAGAGGUGAGUGGAACUCCCAGUGUAGAGGUGAAAUUCGUAGAUAUUGGGAAGAACACCAGUGGCGAAGGCGGCUCACUGGCCCGUAACUGACGCUGAGGUGCGAAAGCGUGGGGAGCAAACAGG
rnacentral:rRNA from 1 species